GGCGAGAUGGCCGAGCGGUCUAAGGCGCCAGACUAAGGUGAUUGCGUAAUCGUCCGCGUGACCAACUCAGCUUCUGAGUUAAGUAAUAUCUGGUCUUUCGGGGCGUGGGUUCGAAUCCCACUCUCGUCA